rnacentral:rRNA from 1 species
CCUACGGGUGGCAGCAGUGAGGAAUAUUGGUCAAUGGACGAGAGUCUGAACCAGCCAAGUAGCGUGUAGGAUGAAUGCCCUCUGGGUUGUAAACAUCUUUUAUAUGGGAAUAAAAUGUUACACUAGUGAGAUUUUGUAUGUACCAUACGAAUAAGGAUCGGCUAACUCCGGGCCAGCAGCCGCGGUAAUACGGAGGAUCCGAACGUUAUCCGGAUUUAUUGGGUUUAAAGGGAGCGUAGGUGGAUUGUUAAGUCAGUUGUGAAAGUUUGCGGCUCAACCGUAAAAUUGCAGUUGAAACUGGCAGGCUUGAGUACAGUAGAGGUGGGCGGAAUUCGUGGUGUAGCGGUGAAAUGCGUAGAGAUGACGAAGAACUCCGAUUGCGAAGGCAGUUCACUGGACAGCAACUGACACUGAGGCGCGAAAGCGUGGGUAGCAAACAGGAUUAGAUACCCGUGUAGUC